GGCAAACGACAUAAUGCUUGUGUGUAGUACGCUGCUCAUUGCUAUAGUUACGGCUGCUGCAGCAGUUGACUAUGAUGAUUGGGCAGUGAUCAAUGUCACAGAGUUUCUUAACACAAAAGAUAAUAUAUGGACCAUCAUGACUACAGCUAAUGAAAGCCAAGACUGCCAGGUCGACAAGACAGUGUCUAUAAAUAGCACGAGUGUUUUAUUUACCAGGAAGCAUCGGACACGGACCACGACCGUCAUUACUCAACUAUUUGGAAAGUUUGGCGGUUCUUAUCCUUAUUACAACACUAUGGAAGUCGGACCCCCAGGUGGAAAUGCUACAAGCCUAGAAGAAUUGAUAUAUCAAGGAGAAAACAACACAUGUGGAGUAUUCGAGCUCCGGAACGUAACCAGGGUGAUCAACGCACCAUGUUAUUACUUAUAUAACAGACCAUGUCAGCAAUAUACAGCCUACGAGAUAAGGGUCAGUACCUUCGGCGGAAGAGAAUCAGCGCAGGAAUGCUGGGAGUGGUUCAACAAGACGUACAAGGACGAAACGUUUCAACGAAUUUUGUAUAACACAAGUUGUACAGAACUACGUAAAAUUCAUAUGAGAGGGUGGAGAAUUAAUGUACACCAAUAGUG